rnacentral:rRNA from 1 species
UAGGGAAUCUUCCGCAAUGGGCGAAAGCCUGACGGAGCAACGCCGCGUGAGUGAUGAAGGUCUUCGGAUCGUAAAACUCUGUUAUUAGGGAAGAACAAAUGUGUAAGUAACUAUGCACGUCUUGACGGUACCUAAUCAGAAAGCCACGGCUAACUACGUGCCAGCAGCCGCGGUAAUACGUAGGUGGCAAGCGUUAUCCGGAAUUAUUGGGCGUAAAGCGCGCGUAGGCGGUUUUUUAAGUCUGAUGUGAAAGCCCACGGCUCAACCGUGGAGGGUCAUUGGAAACUGGAAAACUUGAGUGCAGAAGAGGAAAGUGGAAUUCCAUGUGUAGCGGUGAAAUGCGCAGAGAUAUGGAGGUACACCAGUGGCGAAGGCGACUUUCUGGUCUGUAACUGACGCUGAUGUGCGAAAGCGUGGGGAUCAAACAGG